rnacentral:lncRNA from 1 species
GAUCUGAGGUCGCCGCCGCCACGAGGUAGAGAGGUGACGGCAACUGCGACGACGGGCGAAUUCCUUCUCCACGCUUCCACCUCUCUCACAGCAAUUCCUGGCGAACUCUAUCGUCUUCGGCGGCAGAUGGUUAUAGGCAGGAGACUAAGACGGUACAUGGCGCGACAAUGACCUUGGCGGACCUCCAGCGGUGGUGUGGCCUACCUCUACAACACUCUUUACCUUCCCUUACAGGUGCGAGGAGAAGAAAACUGUGCUUGGUCGAUGCCAUCGAGCCACGAGUGCAGCAGAGGCAGCUGCUCGUUUUUUCAGAAAAGAAUGUGUGAGACGGCGGGGCGACACGGGGCGACGCGGGCGAUCCAGUUGUACGCUUCCAUCAAGAUAUGAUUGCAUCCUCACUGGUCAGUGAGCGAUUGUCGUUGAAGUGAUAUCCUUCCCCACAGUCCACCAAAUAGAUCUAAAAGUUCAGAUUCGUUUCUUCCGUUAAAAAAGUUCAGAUUCCUUCAUAUUCAUGAUGUUCAGUUAAUCUGUUGUUAAAAUUAUACUUCAACAUAAAUUAAGAUGAUGGUGAAUAAAAGUACCUCCCUCCCUACUUUUUCUUGGUUCUACUUCUCUUUGCUAAGCAGGGUUUUCAGUCACAUAUUAACUCCUGUCGUUUGUCCUGAUAAGAUAUAUAAGGGCUCAGCUGUGGCCAGCAUAAUGCAGUGGUACGGUAGUAC